AAUGCGACCUCAGCUCAGGCGGGGCUACCCGCUGAGUUUAAGCAUAUCAAUAAGCGGA
rnacentral:rRNA from 1 species